rnacentral:rRNA from 1 species
AUUGAACGCUAGCGGGAUGCCUUACACAUGCAAGUCGAACGGAGUGGCGAACGGGUGAGUAAUGUAUCGGAACGUGCCCAGUAGCGGGGGAUAACUACGCGAAAGCGUAGCUAAUACCGCAUACUAUUGGAGCGGCCGAUAACGGAUUGGCUAGGUGGGGGGGUAACGGCUCACCAAGGCGACGCACCGUAGCUGGUUUGAGAGGACGACCAGCCAAACUGGGACUGAUAGACGGCCCAGACUCCUACGUGAGGCAGCAGUGGGGAAUUUUGGACAAUGGGGGAAACCCGGAUCCAGCCAUCCCGCGUGUGCGAUGAAGGCCUUCGGGUUGUAAAGCACUUUUGGAAGGAAAGCGGUACCUGCAGAAUAAGCACCGGCUAACUACGUGCCAGCCGCCGCGGUAAUUC